UAUGCAAUACGUUCGGUAAACUAUUUAAGUCAUUUAUUAAACACUCGCUCCGCUUGUGUCAAAUAAACUCUUGACUCAAAUGCCGUUUAUCACACUUUUUGCUUAAUAUACUAUUAAAGGUCUUAUUAUCAAACAAUAACUAUGCAGGCUUUUUAAUUUUUCAUAGAAACUUCCACAGGCGACUGUAAUCGCUAUUGGGCGAUAAUUUUCUGCGGUAUGCCUGUCCGUUUUAAAGAUAACACAACAAAUACAAUUCCUGUUCAUUAAAGAGUUUUUAGAGAUUUCUCUUUUCAUGAAAUCUUACAUGUUAUGCACAAAAUGAAGAAUAAAGUUUCAAGUGAGGUCUAUUAACUAAAAUUAUAUUAAUAAAGAGAAUAUUAAUUUUAACCUUAAGCAAAUUAAUAAUUAUGAUGAUUCUUCCGGGUGCACUCAAAAUGAUCAAACAAACACCUUGGAAAUUUAUGAAAAUAUUCUAAAAACAAGCAUUUAUACUAUAGCUAUAUUAUAAUAUACUUAUACCUAUACUACACAGUAUAUUUUAAUAGAUUGCGUGUGUUCUGUUUUGGUAUUUAUUUACUACAACAAUGCGAGAAUAUUGUACAAAUUUUAAAAUCGUCUUAAUUUAUUUCCCAGUAUCUUUUCGGCAUCCACGUCACCUAAUUUGUUUCGUACGGUAAACAAAUUAUCGUACAACAGACAUACGUUCCCAGAGCAGACGAGUCACUACAAAACGAACACUAAUUAACUGAGUGUGAUUUUAUUGUUAUUUGGUGUAAUUUAUCGCUAACUAUUUAGUACCCGCGCAUCUGCUUCUCGAUCAUAAAUUUCCCGGCCACGCACCAAGCUAAAAAAAAACUUAUUUAGCUAACGCAAUUAAUAUUAGCACCCCGGUCGCAGUUGGCACUGUUCAACUUUACGAGUCGACACCUGUUCAUCGUACCGCUUCCAUAUUUUCUCGGUUUCAAUCGCUCGCAACAUUUUUGCAAUUAUAUUUACGAUCCUCGUUUAGUCCAUAAAUAGUGGUGGCGGAGCGUGAAUCACACCCAGCGAUUUUUUUCUUCGCGUUGCGACGACGAUAUUCGGCAUAAAAAACAGCGCGAAGGCUAAAGAUGUCGGACCGUCUGUUUUCUACAUAUUAGUGCAAGAAAUAAACGAUGGGCGUUGCUGUUUUAUUCCGAAUAACAUUCCUAUACUUAUUAUUAUCAAGCGGAGAGAGAUAUCAACUCGGCGUCAGACCACUAACCCGGGAGACAUCAACGAUCGAUCACACCACAAACCCCGCGACCGGUACCAUUCGAUGGCGAGCAAAAGAAAAUCGCCCACCCUUCAAGUACGUCCUGGUACUGCGCGCACGUGGUUCAAGGCUAUACGAAGCAUCCGGACGUGGUGCUGCCCGAUCGACGGUCUGCGGUACACUGGCUGUACGAAGGUACCGCUGGUAAUGUUCGGACCACGCCACAGAAGAUCUGCUCCAGUUCUGGGCAGCUCGAGAUCGAAAGUGUUCUUCGCAAAAGGCGGCUGAUGGACCUCGUCCGAGAGGAACCGACGGAGACGUUGGAAGUACCACCGCCGUCGCUUUAGUCGGCGGCAGUGUCGGUUUUGCGUCGCUCGUUCGCGACGAGGUUUGUUUUUUUUUUCGUAUUUUGAAUCGCACGGCACGAUUGCGACAGAUUAACGUCAAUUAACAAACGAAAUUAGUUUUCCAGUGUCGCAAGACGGUUUUAUUCAAAUGCGUUUUCCGUCUGACUAGGAAAGUGUCGCUGUCGCAUCGUAAUUCAUGGGUUUACCGUUUUAAGUUACCCGGAUUAAAAAAAUCCUAUUAUUACUCUAUCUAUCUAUCUCUCUUUAUGUCUGCCUGUCGCACGAGCCUGUUUUUUAUAGAGCAACGGUAGAAAAACUCCUUAAAAACAGCUGAUAAAACUAGCAUUACGCUUUCUUUUCCUUAUGUCGCUUUCCGCUUGAACGCAUUGUUAUCGGUGAACAGGGUGUAAAAAGCUUAUAAAACGGAUAUUUAUUAACACCUUCGGUGUAUAUUGAAUUGUCUUUUUGAAAUUUGAUGAGAAAUUUAACAAAAGCGCGUAGUAAUGUAAAGGAAAGAAAAAUUCAUUUUUGCCGGUGUCAAAUGACUUGAAUUGGACUUAUUUUAAUUUUGAUUUCAAGCUUUUUUGUGCGAAAUAUUUUUGCUUCCCUGUGUAUGUGUCACACAAAUUCAUUUCUUUUAAAUUUUUUGUUUGAUUCAGUUAAAUCAUACUUUAAAUUAUCAAAAAAAAUGCUGUUGUAUACGUACAUUUUCAUUUUAAACUUUGUACAUUAUUAAAAGCUUUUUCCUUACAAAGAACAAUACUUCCUUUAUUAUUUUUCCUACACCAUUGAAGAGCAAACAAAAUUUUUCUGUUAAACGCUCAAGCUCUAACGCCCCAUUCAUUUUCUUAGUACCUGAGUCAAGCUUGCUUGAUAUAUUUUUAACGUUAUCAGUGGGGAUAUAGUUGUUGUUGCUUUAGUUAGUAAUUCUUAUUUUUCGACCCUAGUGGCUUGGAGUUGUCAAGGCAAAAACCACGGAUGAAUUAAGAACGAUGUAGUCGGACAGGCGGAAAAAAUGUGUUACGUCACUUUGCUGCUACAGGAAUGAUUUUGUUCAUAUUCAACUCUCGCAUUAACUUCACCAUGUAAUUUUAGUAAUUGCUAAGCUCGCGUACGAUUGUCGACAUGUCGAUAUGUACAUUCUAAACGAAAUCGAUAUCGAUUUUUGACCGAAAAAUGUCGACGAAUGACUGAUUGGCUAAAUCGUUAUAACGGCUCGCUGCAACGAUUGUCCUUGCUCGACAAUAUCGCGUGAGUUUAUUUCCUGUACAAACCAUUAGUUCAGAUAAAGAGAUAAGGAGCGAUUUUAUAGAUUUAUCGGCAUAUUAAAAACACCGUUGCGCAAGAUUUAGGUGUUCGUUGGAUCUGUAAUUUGUAGCGAGACGGAGGACAGUUUAAUUAGAUUAAUUGCAAGGUAAUUAAUUUGAAAAACAGUAUGUAAUGGUUUCUGUUUUGUUUUUUUUUUUACCGCUUAAUCGUGGCUUUUAAAUACGCAAUUGGUUUUACGAUGAUACAUGGCUUUAACGUAAUUGUUGACUAUUAAUUUUGGGGAGUAAGUGGCGGCAUUUUUCACUUUGUAAAGUGCCGUUUUUAGAAAAUAAAAAUGCACAAUUUAUGCGUCGCGUCCACCGUUUAUAUGAAAAAUAUUUGACACGCUUCAAUUAAUAAUUUAAUGGUUCCGUUAUUACGCGUAAACAUAUAGAUUCGAUUUUGAGUACGAAUUAAUUUUCAAGAGUUUGUAAUAACUUUUGAGGUAAAAUGUUCGUUCGUGGAGUUAAUUAAAACGUUUAGUAGUUUCGUAUGUUAAAUAAAAAAACGUAUUACCGCAUAGUUAUUGGUUUUAAGUGAAGCAUAUACACGGUGUUUAAUAAAGGCCCAGCAACAUUUAAGGGGAUGGUUCUUCAGGUCAUUUUAUGAAAUAAGUUUAAAUAAAUGUAGCUCCAGAAAUGCCUUUUUUAAUAUACAGGGUGUUAAAUUAUUUGUAUAUUAUAUGUAGAGGACCUAAGAAAUCGAAUUAUUCCUGGGUGCAACUCAAUCAGGAACGACCCUGGACCCUGGAUUACUUUGUAGCACAUGAUCGGAAAAUGUCUUCAGGAGAUACAAGAUGGAGAUGCGUCAAAGGCAAAUUCGCAUGGCGAAUCAUGCAGCAGUGUUAUAACGAGUUUGAAUGAGAACCACCAGAAAUUUUUGUGUGAUUUCAGCAUUGUUUGUAUGGAUGGUACUUGUAAUUAUUGCACCAAAUAUUUUAAUCAAUAGAAAGUGUUAAAAUAGUAUUUGUAUUUUGUAUUCAAUAA